UUUUUAUUGGAGGUGUUGUUGCGUGUAUUCUUCUUGAAACAGCGGUGUAAACUCUUGAGGGGGGUGGUAAUGACAAAUCUGCUUUGAUUCAGCAUUUCCCAGGACAGUGGGACCUGAAGGACAUCUGUCAUUUAGCCUGAAAGCAUUUAUACCUUUCCUUUAACUAUGACCAAUUUUUACCUUUUUCCAUACAGGUAUUGGUUUAUCUUCUAAGAGCCUCCUGCUUUUCCAUUUUCUGGUGCUACAUUCUACACUUAGUGUUUUCCACCAGGUUGUUGAGGGUUGAUAUGCACACGUUGGUAAAAAACUAGCUUGGUACCAGGGUGCUGUGUCAGUUGUUCUACAUCUUUAACCACCAUGAACCACACAAUGCCUUGUUUUGUGACAGUGAAUCAGUUCAAUGCUCUUGGUCUACUGGAGCUUGAGUUUAGAGCCACCAUACUAGACCAAAGCCUGCAGUAAUCCCACUGAAGCUGUUCACAUUCAUUAAUUAACCUCUGCAAUAGUAGUGGAACAGGGUAUAUUUAGUCGAUAAGGCAUGAGCGGGUGUAGUGUAUGGACAAUAUACCGCGGCUAACAGCAGUGCUAAGGCACGACGCAUCACAAACGCAAUAUACAAAAAAAAACAAGAAGCCUUAUUGCUCUUAUUAACCAGUUACCAAUGCAAAUUAAAGACGUGAAAAGUGAUGUGAUGUCAUACCCAUGGUAUACGGUUUGGCCAAUCAGCAUUCAGCCUUCAGUGAUAGAGCGUUGUUAGAGAUAGUUUGUAACUCACACCCAUCUACAUGAGCCUUGUUUUCAUUCAGCACAAUGUCUUUCCAUAUCCUGAUUACUGAUGAUACUACCUUAACGUUAUUGAUAUGCCAACAUGGAAACCCUACCUGUGAAUGUCUUUAGAUAUUACACUGAUGUCAUUUAUUUACGUUAAAGGACCAAAUUCGUACAAUAGUUAAGUUAAAGAUAAAAUUGCAGCAAUUCAAAUGCAGUGUUUCAGCAAAACCUAAAAUUAAAACAGCUGAUUGCUCUCUCCUAAUAGAUGGCAGUCUGUUUUAUGAAGAGGAUAGAUCCAGGCACAUGAUCAGAUCUGUAUCUAUCUGUGUCUAUUCUAUUUUAUAGUGGAUAGAUCCAGGCACAUGAUCAGAUCUGUAUCUAUCUGCAUCUAUUCUAUUUUAUAGUGGGUAGAUCCAGGCACAUGAUCAGAUCUGUAUCUAUCUGUGUCUAUUCUAUUUUAUAGUGGGUAGAUCCAGACACACAAUCUAAUCCUUUUAAUACACUGUAGGUAGACUAUUGUGUUACACCUUAGUUUUUCUUAGGGCUUAAUUCAUACUUAAGCAGAUGUGACAUAGACGUAAGUGAAAAAUCAACCCUCUCAUAGUGACUCGUCUGAAUUGGGGCCACUUUGAAUUUCCUCCUGGCUACACCACCGAAAUGUAGCUGAAAGAUUUAUAGGUCAUUUAAUGAAAGAUUCAUAGGUCAUGUCAGUGCAUUGCUGAAGGAAAUGUCGUCUUUUCCAUGCUGAGAGACACGGACAGUCAGUGUUCUUAUUUGAUUUCUUGCUUAUUACACACAGUAUUGUAAUGAGCCACUGUUGAUUUACCACAGCAUCAGACUUCCAAACUGAAAUGUAUGUACUGUUUUAAUUGUUCACAGGUUACUGUUCACAAUUAACCUGUCAAAUUCAGAUGUUUUGUGCUAUUUUGUUAUUUGUAUACUUUAAUGUCCCUGCCUCAUGUUUAAUGUUUUUCCUUGCUGUGUCUUUGAUUAAUAAUUCUUAUUUAAUUUUGUUCAGUUACAUUCUUUGUCAAAAUCCCCGCAGGUUGAUUUGCCAUGGGGGUUGAUCUUAUAUUUUAUUUAAAUUAAAUAAAAGACAAAAGUAUGAAUUUUGGUUGCAGGGUCAAGAAAAAGUAAGCAGUUCGCUGUUGAAUAUACCACCACUGCUGUCAGAAAUAUGUCCUCCGGUCCAAAUGUAACCAAAGAUGUAUCGUCAGUGUAUAAAAGACAUAGACAUGUACUGUAUUGUCCCACCGCUAUGGCUUCCCACAUCCAACUCAGUGCCUUAUGGAUUCCCCUUCCCCCUGUGCUUUCAUACUAACAUCUGUCCUCCUGUCUCAUACUCUCUGUCUGUCUGUGAGAUUCACCAGGCCCUGUUCAUUCCAAAAAUGUGGACAGUACAUUGGACAGUACUGUAUGGAAUGUUGGACCUGCUGUAAUCUCAAUGAAGUUGCAUUAUUUCCUGUCAAAGUGGUGCAGAAUGAUGCCGUUGAAGUGUUUGUUUUACCACCAUCUAAAUGAGCCCAGUGCUCAUUCAUCCCAGUCUCUGGAUGUAGUCAUGACCGAAGUCCAUGCAACUGAAUUGUAAACCGGGUUACCUGCAGUAGUCAUGACCGAAGUCCAUGCAACUGGACUGUAAACCGGGUUACCUGCAGUAGUCACGACUGAAGUCCAUGCAACUGGACUGUAAACCGGGUUACCUGCAGUAGUCAUGACUGAAGUCCAUGCAGCUGGAUUGUAAACCGGGUUACCUGCAGUAGUCACGACUGAAGUCCAUGCAACUGGAUUGUAAACCGGGUUACCUGCAGUAGUCAUGACCGAAGUCCAUGCAACUGGACUGUAAACCGGGUUACCUGCAGUUGUCAUGACUGAAGUCCAUGCAACUGGACUGUAAACCGGGUUACCUGCAGUAGUCAUGACCGAAGUCCAUGCAACUGGACUGUAAACCGGGUUACCUGCAGUUGUCAUGACUGAAGUCCAUGCAGCUGGAUUGUAAACCGGGUUACCUGCAGUAGUCAUGACUGAAGUCCAUGCAGCUGGAUUGUAAACCGGGUUACCUGCAGUAGUCACGACUGAAGUCCAUGCAGCUGGAUUGUAAACCGGGUUACCUGCAGUUGUCAUGACUGAAGUCCAUGCAACUGGACUGUAAACCGGGUUACCUGCAGUUGUCAUGACUGAAGUCCAUGCAGCUGGAUUGUAAACCGGGUUACCCGCAGUAGUCAUGACUGAAGUCCAUGCAGCUGGAUUGUA
ensembl:lncRNA